rnacentral:rRNA from 1 species
CUACGGGUUGCUCCAGUGGGGAAUAUUGCACAAUGGAGGAAACUCUGAUGCAGCAACGCCGCGUGGAGGAUGACACUUUUCGGAGCGUAAACUCCUUUUAUAUAGGAAGAUAAUGACGGUACUAUAUGAAUAAGCACCGGCUAACUCCGUGCCAGCAGCCGCGGUAAUACGGAGGGUGCAAGCGUUACUCGGAAUCACUGGGCGUAAAGAGCGUGUAGGCGGGUUAAUAAGUCAGAAGUGAAAUCCUAUGGCUCAACCAUAGAACUGCUUUUGAAACUGUUAACCUAGAAUAUGGGAGAGGUAGAUGGAAUUUCUGGUGUAGGGGUAAAAUCCGUAGAGAUCAGAAGGAAUACCGAUUGCGAAGGCGAUCUACUGGAACAUUAUUGACGCUGAGACGCGAAAGCGUGGGGAGCAAACAGGAUUAGAUACCCCUGUAGUC